rnacentral:rRNA from 1 species
UAGAAGCAGCCAUCCUUCAAAGAAAGCGUAAUAGCUCACUGAUCGAGUCCUCAUGCGCGGAAGAUGUAACGGGGCUAAGUCAAUAACCGAAAGCGCGGAUUUGCACGAAAGUGCAAGUGGUAGGGGAGCGUUCUGUAAGCCUGCGAAGGUGGUUCGAGAGGACUGCUGGAGGUAUCAGAAGUGCGAAUGCUGACAUGAGUAACGUUAAAGCGGGUGAAAAGCCCGCUCGCCGUAAGCCCAAGGUUUCCUGCUCUACGUUCAUCGGAGCAGGGUGAGUCGGCCCCUAAGGCCAGGCUGAGAAGCGUAGUCGAUGGGAAGCAGAUUAAUAUUUCUGCACCAUGUGCAAGUGCGAUGGGGGGACGGAGUGCGAAAGAUCAUCCGGGUGUUGGAUGUCCCGGUUUGUGAGUGUAGAAGGCCGACAGGCAAAUCCGUCGGCGGAUCUUCGAGACAAAGCAUCGAGGUUCUACGGAACCGAAGUGAUCGGAAGUGCUUCCAGGAAAAGCCUCUAAGCUCCAGCUUGCAUAUGACCGUACCGUAAACCGACACUGGUGGGCGAGUUGAAUAUACUCAGGCGCUUGAGAGAACUCGGGAGAAGGAACUCGGCAAAUUGACACCGUAACUUCGGGAUAAGGUGUGCCUUUGUAGCGUGAAGAGAGAAACACUCGGAGCGUGAAGAGGCCUCAGAGAAUCGGUGGCUGCAACUGUUUAUUAAAAACACAGCACUCUGCAAAGACGAAAGUCGACGUAUAGGGUGUGAUGCCUGCCCGGUGCUGGAAGAUUAAGUGAUGGGGUGAGAGCUCCUGAUCGAAGUCCCAGUAAACGGCGGCCGUAACUAUAACGGUCCUAAGGUAGCGAAAUUCCUUGUCGGGUAAGUUCCGACCUGCACGAAUGGCAUAAUGAUGGCCACACUGUCUCCUCCCGAGACUCAGUGAAGUUGAAAUGUUUGUGAUGAUGCAAUCUCCCCGCGGCUAGACGGAAAGACCCCAUGAACCUUUACUGUAGCUUUGCAUUGGACUUUGAACCGAUUUGUGUAGGAUAGGCGGGAGGCAGAGAAAGCGCAACGCCAGUUGUGCCGGAGCCGACGUUGAAAUACCGCCCUGAUUUGUUUGAGGUUCUAACCGCGACCCGUGAGCCGGGUUCGGGACCGUGCAUGGCAGGCAGUUUGACUGGGGCGGUCUCCUCCUAAAGGGUAACGGAGGAGUACAAAGGUACGCUAGGUACGGUCGGAAAUCGUGCUGAUAGUGCAAAGGCAAAAGCGUGCUUGACUGCGAGACCGACAAGUCGAGCAGAUGCGAAAGCAGGUCUUAGUGAUCCGGUGGCUCUGUAUGGAAGGGCCAUCGCUCAACGGAUAAAAGGUACUCUGGGG